AGUAUACUUUAUCAUCAUAGUAUUUCAGAAAAAUUGGGUAUUUCAAUGGUUGUAUGUUUCAAGAAUAUACUUAAGAGUCACAAAGAAGCUAAAUCAACUGACUAUCAAGAUAAAUCAUUUUGUUCCUGAAAACGUAAGCACUAAUAGUUAUAUGGUACAAUUGACAAUGGUGGAACAUCGGGCAGCAAGUAUCAAACAUAGAAAUAUAUUUAGCAAUGUUAAUUUAAUGAGAUAUCCACUCCAACCAAGCGACAUUUUGCUAAUCGCAUACUUGUCAUAGAUAUAGACCUGACAAACGAACGAGAAGUUUUACUUACUUCGGGAAGUGAUAAUACUUACGUUAUAAACGAUUUUCUUUUCUUGUUCAAUAUACGUAUCGACUUUAAUUGUUUACACAUCUGAUGUUAUGUGAUUCGAAAUAAUGAACCUUUAUAAUUUGACAACAUGAAAAA
rnacentral:lncRNA from 1 species